rnacentral:rRNA from 1 species
UUAUGGCUCAGGACGACGCUGGCGGCGUGCCUAACACAUGCAAGUCGAGCGAGGAGAUCCUUCGGGAUGAUCCUAGCGGCGGACGGGUGAGUAACACGUGGGCAACCUGCCUCAUAGAGAGGAAUAGCCUUCCGAAAGGGAGAUUAAUACCUCAUAACAUCGCAGUUUCGCAUGGAACAGCAAUUAAAGGAGUAAUCCGCUAUGAGAUGGGCCCGCGGCGCAUUAGCUAGUUGGUGAGGUAACGGCUCACCAAGGCGACGAUGCGUAGCCGACCUGAGAGGGUGAUCGGCCACAUUGGGACUGAGACACGGCCCAGACUCCUACGGGAGGCAGCAGUGGGGAAUAUUGCACAAUGGGGGAAACCCUGAUGCAAGCAACGCCGCGUGAGUGAUGACGGCCUUCGGGUUGUAAAGCUCUGUCUUCAGGGACGAUAAUGACGGUACCUGAGGAGGAAGCCACGGCUAACUACGUGCCAGCAGCCGC